rnacentral:pre_miRNA from 1 species
GUUUUACUCCCUUCGUCCGGAAAUACUUGUCAUGAAAAUGGAUAAAAAGAGAUGUAUCUAGACGUAUUUUAGUUCUAGAUACAUCUCUUUUUAUCCAUUUUGAUGACAAGUAUUUUCGGACGGAGGGAGUACAAU